GUAAUUUUAACUUUUAGUAAACUAUUAACCUGCUAUAAUAGGUAAAACAAGUAAAUAGGGACUUUUAUGAUGCUAUAACUAAAGUUUAAAGAUUUUUUUUUAUAACAAAUAAAGUUAGGGCCUGAUAUGAAACAUCCCUAUAAAGUUUAUGGACAAUGAGUGGAAAUUACCUAUUAAAAGGGAUCACGAAAGCAGUCACAUAAGGUUUCUUACAGACAAGUGCUUCACACUGGUGUGCUCUAAUUUUGAGGAUGGGUCUUUGAGUUCAAUGUAAACCAUAGACAAUCAGAUAGAGCAGUAGCAAGCAAGGAAUACCUGUGAAUGCUGGCAAAGUCACAGAAUCUCGACUUGCUGCUCCUUUGAACCGGUAAACAAGAGAGGAACAAAUCUUCUCAACCAGAGACCCAUGAGGAGAGUGUUCAAAUAUUCGUUGCACUAUUUAUCUGAUGUUUUAACUCAUUUAAUGACCUAUUAUUAAAUAUGACAAUCAAGUCAUAAUUAAAAAAUAAUUAAUUUGUUAGUUUUGUUGAAUCUUCAGAUUUAAGAUAACAUGCCUGCUCGAGUUAAGCGGGUCAAACCGUUUAAAAACCCUUAUUUUUAACAUGCAACCCAUUUAUGACUCUUAACUUAUUUAUGUUAAAUUUAAAUCCAUUUAAUUAUGUGUCAAAUCAUGCAGUGCAACCAAAUCGCAUUCUAGUUUCAUCUUGGAGGACAAGGCUAAUUCUUAAAGAGGAGGCAAUGUUAUACAUCAAGAUGAGAAAGGCUUAGCUGGAAAGCUUCCAAGCCAAGAAGCCUCGGGAGUUUGUUUUCGAAGAAACAUAUAUGGAGCAGCAGCAUCUAAAAAAAUGAGCUGGAGAGAAUAAGGAUGAAGGAGCCAAUUCUGUUGAAGAGGAUUACAGAGGAGAUGCCACCUGGAGAUUCGUCAUUGGAUGAAAAAACUGAAGAUCUAUAAGCAGAGCAAGAAAGAUAAAUUGCUUGGACCUAAACCUCGACACUAUUGGAAUGUCAAUGAACAUUAGAUCGCUUCCUCAAUUUACACCACAAUCCAUUCUUGGUAUGAAUUGUUGCCCCUGUGACCAAUUCCACUAAUUCUGGAGAGGCCUUCAGCUCCACAUCAAACUUCUGCAACAACAUAGCCAGUGCUACGGUUGACUCCAUAAGGGCAAAUUGGUCCCCAACACAUUUCCUUGGUCCACCGCCGAAGGGUAGGAAGGCAAAAUCUGAUAUAAUCUGAUGAUGACAACCAUAAGAUUCGUGUUAAAAAAAAAAUGCAAAACACCAUAAUUUAUUAUUAAAAAUCAGAAAGCAAAUGGAAGGAGACCUCAUUUGGGUAUAAUGCUCCUGGGCUCCUAGAUGGAUCAAAACCAGCCCAUCCUUCAAUUUCUUCAUUCUUUCUUUGCACUAAAAACCUUUCUGGUUCAAAUUCAUUAGGCGAGUCCCAAAAAUAUGGGGAUCUAUGAAGAUUAUAUAG